UCACCUCUCUCUCCUUUCACGUCUCUCUCUCUCCCUCACAUCUCUCCGCGCCGCCGCCGACGUGAGGAGCGCCAUCUCCAUCCUGCCUUUUUCCUCCUUCGUCCUCCCUUUCUGCAGCGCAAGCCACGACCUCUCCUGUGCGCCUCUGUUUUCCUCCCCGUCGGGACCAGGCAGAGGAGGAGCAGUGCGAGCCACGGAGAUGACGAGGUGGUCGAGUUGCCUGUGGCGCCAUCGCCGUACCUCACGGCCCAGCUGGAGGUGUGUCGGCCGCAGAGACGGCAGAGGUCUCAUUCGCUCACUCUCUCGCCGCCAUAGGAGGAGUGUGCGCAGGGGGAGUGGCCGGUCAAGAUCUGAAGACGGCGGGGCGGCAAGCAGAGCUCCUUUUGCUGAGCGCCGAGGGGUCGAAGGGUGCUCCGGAUCCGGAUCCGGGCGAGGUGGCGGCCAUGAACGAGCUCGAGCUCGAGCCCGAGCGUGUGCCUCCUACUCCCCAUGGUCUCGCUACCGCUCCUCCCCCUUGGGCUCUGUUCGUGGAGAGCAGCGGCCGAUGUGGACAAGGAGGUACACAACGAGCCGCCGAUGAUGGGCACGCUGGGAUGAGCUCUCUGGCAGAAACACGCACCACGCCCGUCCACCUCUCCACCACCAUGCGCCAGAGGGAGAGGGAGAGCCCAGGCCCUGAGCGUGGGUUCUGAUUUUGGGUCAAGUUUGCUUGAAGGUUAGUGCGAGGAGCACGUAUCCAGAAGUUUCUCUGCACAUAAGACGCUUAGCAAUGGGUGUGGGAAUAGCUCAGUUGGCUAAUCCAUGUAUACUCUUUGUUUAUCAUCAAGUUUAGUACUUCUAUGGAGUCGAACGAAAUUGAUGUCUCAAGAUCAAUUAGCAUGGCCUUGGAGUAAAUCGGCUGGUAUGCAAGUAUGACAAGUGGAUGACACUUUCAACAUUUUUUUCUCCCGACCACAUGUGCUUGUUGGUCCAGUUCUAAAAAUUUGCUGCAAGGUUUCUAUAAUACAGAUUAAAGAAGAAUCAGAUCAUGUAUAUAAUUUGCUCGCUGACUACCAAAUACUGGAACUUCUGAGAACCCUCUCCAACCCAUAUUUGCAAAUAAAAAGCUUGCGGCUUGGGAGCAUCUCAGAAUUUUUAUCUCGACCUUGCAGUAACUGAGUCUCUACCGGCACAAAAUGCAAUUGAAUAUCUCAAAGUAAUGGAGCAUUUGAUCAGAAUGAAGAGUUAACAGUCCUAGGUAAAGGAACUGAGUGAGCACUUCCAUGUCACCCCGAAUGCUAGCGGUUCCUGAAUGAGGGGUACGAGUGUGUUAGCGAGGUAAAAGGCUGAAGUGACAACACCUCUGGGACUGAUCCCCAGUGCACAAAACUUCCAUGGUGGUGUGUGCAAUUCCAAGGCCCACUUGAGCUACUCUUGCCAUAAUUCUGAUGUAUGGAAAUAAUCAGUGAUUCUUUCUUCUUUAUCUGGGAGCUGUUUACUGGGAGCUGGUAAUACUACUGGCUUACUCUUUGGAACCUUCGGUUGAUCUAUACAUGUGUAGCUAGCUGCUUUUCUCCAUGGCGCAUUUCAUGUAGAUACGUAGAGAUGUUGAUUAGUAAAUGCAUGCAAACUGAAUUAUGUAUUAGUUUCCUAGCCGGUAGCAUCAUUGAAACGGCGGUUCUUCUCCAUGCGAGUUAAACGGAUUGCUUGGGUGAGAUUUUGUUAGGAUAAUCUCAGAGGUUGCUAGCAAUCAGUAGAGUUACUCAUAGUACUAAUACAUGUGCAAGUUUUCUUUAAUUAAUUUUGGUGCUUCUCCUGAUUGAAGAUGGUCGUGACCAAUUUUAGAACUUUAAAACCCCAUUAAACAUUGUUGGUAUGAAUUGGGCUUGGAAAAUACUCGAUCGAGCAGCUCCUUUGUUCUACAUUUUGGUUCAGCCUAAAUACUCGAUCGAGCAGCUCCUUUGUUCUACAUUUUGGUUCAGCCUUACACACUUCAUCGGGUAUAUGAAUUUAUUUAGAUGUAUGUAGAUACUUAGGUGUACAGGGACCCACUGUAUUCCUUUUAUUUUUGUAACCUCACAUUGAAAUAUCUAACUUUUUGUAUAAUGGUUCUUUUCAGAGAAUUUCCACCGCACCUAAAAAACAAGAGUUUCAAUUGUAUAAAGAAAUCCAUGUGUGACAGAACCUUUACACGAGGAGGGCAACAGCGUCGACAUGGCAAUCGAGUCACUCCUGAAUGCGGAGAAGCAGUGUUGCCUGGCUGGCGAUGUGGCCAGCACUAGGAAGGACAUCGUCGAGCUCUCCUUCAAGGAUGGCGCCUGGAAGACGCUUAACUGCCAGAUCGUUGUCCUCUCUAAGAGGAGGAGGGCCAGCUCAAGUAGAGAAUGGCGUCACCGGGCAGGACGGCAGCGGCGUGCCCGUGUUCGCGGAGUACAACCUCGACGAGCUCCGCGCCUCCACCGACGGCUUCGCAACGGACCACAUCAUCUUCGAGCACUGCGAGAAGGAGCCUAACGCCAUCUACCACGGGCCCUCUUCAGCUCUGGCACCACCGUCGCCAUCAAGCUCUUCUACCGCUCCGCCUGGCCUGACGCACGCCAAUUCAUGGUUCGUGCCCCUUGCUUUGGUUUGUUUUGCUUCGGGGGGGUGGAUCGUCACCUCGUAUGCACCAGUGUUCGACUGGCCUCUGCCGCGGAGUCUGAACUGAAUUUGGCUGUCAUAUUUUUUUGGAUGCACAAGAGGAGGCUAGGGCAGUUGGGCUGCUGCAGAGCGUUCGCUUGUCCAACCUCAUCAGAUGAUGCUACAAGGGUGGCGAGCGGCUGCUCGUUGCUAAGUUCAUGACGCAUGAUACCUUGGCAGCUGUGAUUCAUAGUGUGGUUAGGGUUUUUUAAGUUUACUAGCUCCUUCAUUGAUGAUGGGUCGUUGGUGGUGCUUUUCUGCCGAGAAUUAAAAAAAUAACUUAUUCCAUGUUUCAUGCGGUUUAUGCAUCUCUUUCCUAUUUCUCUGUUUCAGAUAAUGGUCAUGUUUACACUCGAGUGUGUGAUUUGCGGACGGGGGGUGCAGUCUAUCUGAAUAUUCAAUUCAUGCUUUGAUCAUGAGUAUAGUACAUUCAAAAUUAGCAAAAGCAAUAAUGCAUAGCAGCAGUGUCAAUCUUGUAGGCUAUGAAACUGCAUGUUUGUUGUUGCGGUAUGGAAAUUUACCAUGCUGCGGCAAUGGGGGCAAACUCUUACGGUGAGGUUUUUUUGUGUACCUAAAGUCCGAAGAGAAAGGUAGGGUACCUGAGGUGAGUCUUAUGCCCUUCCAUGUUUUCAUUUUUUGUGCGUCUUGAAUUUUGUAUUUAAUCAAUGUGAAUUGUUCCAUAGCAAUUGCCCUGUUUUGAUUACUGUGAUCGUUAUUUACUGCUUUUGAUGGUCACUACAAAUCUCGCCCUAUUUAGGCAGGUGCAUCACUUGGUUUGAUACAUUCUACAUCGAGGCUAUGCUGCAUAUGCACUUUUGCUCUAAAUCGACUUGGUUUAGUCGAUGACUUGAUGUAUCAACAGAUGUGUUGGGCUCUUUGUUAGCCAUGUUUUGCUCAACUUUUUUGAAGGAAAUUGCCGCAUCGAAACCAAAAUUUCCUUUUGUUGAUGGCACCGUAAGGUUGUAUUACUUUGAUCACAUUUAGUUUGUACAAAGCUUUCCUUUUUAUGGCUUGAAACAUGUCACUAAAGGCAGUUGAAUGAAGACACUUAUUAGUAUGCUUAGUAGCUAUGACUCGGUAGUUGUCUCUCCUAUCCGGCGCUUAUUACCCCCUCUCCUAUUAUAGCGCUUUUGGUACCGAAGUUCAUGUCGAGUGGCUAUGCUUUUGGUUUCAAACUUCCUAUCGAGUGGCUAUGUUUUGUGGUCUUAUGAACGCACUAAAAUUGAUCGUGCCUUA